rnacentral:rRNA from 1 species
GACGGGGGGGUCCAAGCGUUGUUCGGAAUCAUUGGGCGUAAAGCGUGUGCAGGUGGCUCUGUAAGUUGGAUGUGAAAGCCCCGGGCUCAACUCGGGAAGUGCAUUCAAAACUACAAAGCUUGAGUAAGGAAGAGGGUCGUGGAAUUCCUGGUGUAGUGGUGAAAUACGUAGAUAUCAGGAGGAACACCGGUGGCGAAGGCGGCGACCUGGUCCUAUACUGACACUCAUACACGAAAGCGUGGGGAUCAAACAGG